rnacentral:rRNA from 1 species
UACCCGCUGAGUUUAAGCAUAUCACUAAGCGGAGGAAAAGAAACUAACAAGGAUUUCCCUAGUAGCGGCGAGCGAAACGGAAAGAGCCCAGCUUGAAAAUCGGAGUGCAUUGCGCUCCGAGUUGUAGUCUGGAGAAGGGUCCUCAGCGACAGACCGGGCUUAGGUUCCCUGGAAAGGGACGCCAGAGAGGGUGAGAGCCCCGUCUAGCCCGGACCCUGUUGCGUUACGAGGCUCUUUCGGCGAGUCGGGCUGUUUGGGAAUGCAGCCUCAAGCGGGUGGUAAAUCCCAUCCAAGGCUAAAUAUUGGUGAGAGACCGAUAGUGCACAAGUACCGCGAGGGAAAGAUGAAAAGGACUUUGAAAAGAGAGUCAAAAAGUGCUUGAAAUUGCUGGGAGGGAAGCGAAUGGAUGCUCUGUGCGCCCCUUGGUUGUGUGUGGAACGGCGAGAGCUGGUCUGCUGAUCAAUGCAAGGGGUUAGCCAGCAUGGGAGGCCUUGGCGGGAUAACGGUGUCGCUGGCUUUCAGCCAGCUUCAGCAAAUGCCGCCNCGGCCUCUGGGGGUUAGUGCGGGGUGCUUCGGUGCCCCGCCAGAUGCUGGUAUUUGGGGCGUUCCAUCCGACCCGUCUUGAAACACGGACCAAGGAGUCUAACAUGUGUGCGAGCCUGUGGGUGUAAAACCCGACUAGGCGAAAGGAAACUAAUUCGUGGGAUCCCCGCGAGGGGUGCACCACGGACCGACCUUGAUCUUNUGAAAAGGGUUCGAGUGCAAGUACACCUGUUGGGACCCGAAAGAUGGUGAACUAUGCCUGANCAGGGCGAACCAGANGAAACUCUGGUGGAGGCUC